rnacentral:rRNA from 1 species
GACAGAGGAGCCAAGCGUUGUCCGGACUGACUGGGCGUAAAGCGCACGCAGGCGGCGCUGUGCGUGGGGUGUGAAAGCUCUUGGCUUAACUGAGAGAGGCCAUCCCAUACGGCAGCGCUCGAGCGAUGCGAGAGGUCCGCGGAAUUGCCGGUGUAGUGGUGAAAUGCGUAGAGAUCGGCAGGAACACCCAGGGGGAAACCAGCGGACUGGGCAUUGGCGUGACGCUGCAAGUGCGACAGCGUGGGGAGCGAACCCGGAUUAGA